GUUUAAAUUAAACUACUACGUAGUGUAUUACAUUGUGGUAUUGUUUCAUAGAGGAAUUUUCGAUUUGAUAUUUCUAUGAUCCAACUAGAAGUGGUCAAUGGGAACAAAUCUUAAUGUAAUUUUGUAGUAAAUACUAAGGCAUUAAUAUCUAUUAAAGAAAAUACAUUUAACUGUGUGCUCAAGUAAACCAAAGAUAUCUGGUAAUUUCAGAAACCAACUCUGGAGUGAAGAUGAAGAAUCAAUUGUAUUGGAUCCAGAUAACGAGCUGUGGGGUGGGGUUUCUUUGAUAAGCAACCUCAUAAUCAGGCCAAAUGCUCCAUGUGUGAUGAACGGCUUAGGCGGGAUGCACUGUACAAACAUUUUAAAGAAAAACAUUCUAAAAUCUCCGAGUGCAACCUAGAGAUGACGUUAAGUAUAUUGAACCGAAUAAAAACCAAAGUAAGGACGAUGUGGAAAUUGAAACUUUGGAAAAUAUAUCACAGGAUUACUGAAAGGUGUACCUAGGGCAGCGAGUUCAAAGCUACAAAUGGAAAUUGUGACGUUGAUGACAUUGAAUGAAUGAAUACAAAAAUUAAUUUACAUCAGAUAUAGACAGAGAAGUGGGUGAAAGAAAUAAGGGAAUUGAUCCGCCGGAUAUAGGACAAGAGAGCGGGAAAUCGAAAACUUCGGAACAUACGUCACAUGCCUACUCAAAACGGUCCCAGAGAAUAAAAUUAGCGCGAAACUUCAAAUGAAUAUUGUCAAUCUAAUUAUGACAGCUCGGUUACAGGCUCUGCAGAAAAAUGAUUCACCGGUUUUGACAAUUAACGAACCAUAGAUAAUACAAAUGUAGACGAUAAUCAGGUUAUGCUUUGGGAUAGUUAGAGAAUAUAUUUUAUUCAAUUAAUUUAGAGGAAUAAUUUUUAUUCAACAUUAAGUGUAUAUAACUUACCAAACCCAAAAUCAGUGGUCCACAGCGAAAAAACACAUUUUUGAACAUGGCUGGAUUUGGCUGAAAAGCAGUAGCAAUAUUGUUUUUAAAAUCAAAUUUUAAAAAUCCUAUUAAUUUCUUAAACUCCGAGUAUAAUUGUACCGAAAAACCCAAUAACCAAUUUUUAUUCCGGAU